AUCCAGACUCCUACGGGAGGCAGCAGUGGGGGAUAUUGCACAAUGGGGGAAACCCUGAUGCAGCGACGCCGCGUGGGUGAAGAAGCGCCUCGGCGCGUAAAGCCCUGUCAGCAGGGAAGAAAAUGACGGUACCUGAAGAAGAAGCCCCGGCUAACUACGUGCCAGCAGCCGCGGUAAUACGUAGGGGGCAAGCGUUAUCCGGAUUUACUGGGUGUAAAGGGAGCGUAGACGGCAGUGCAAGUCCGGAGUGAAAGCCCGGGGCUCAACCCUGGGACUGCUCUGGAAACUGUAAAGCUGGAGUGCGGGAGGGGCAGGCGGAAUUCCUGGUGUAGCGGUGAAAUGCGUAGAUAUUAGGAAGAACACCAGUGGCGAAGGCGGCUUGCUGGACAGUAACUGACGUUGAGGCUCGAAAGCGUGGGGAGCAAACAGGAUUAGAUACCCGAGUA
rnacentral:rRNA from 1 species